CGUAUGAGGUUUUGUGGUAUAUGAUAGCGUACAUGUAUUCCAGCAGAUGGUUUGACAUAGAAUUUGGUAUUGACGUUAUAGAUAUACACAAUAAAUGGUUUUGUAGAGUUUGUGGUAUUUCAUUUGAAUUUCUUGUCUUGUGAAACUGUAAUGCCCUGAUAUUGAAAAGAUAACAACAACGUAUAGUGCGCUGAGUAUCUUAUUUUGUUGAUUAUACAUUGUUGUUUACAUGCCGCACAAACAAUUGGCACAAUUAGUUUUUGACAGUUUUGGGCGGAUUUAUGGUGUUGUGGCAAAGAGUUUUUUGGCAAAUCAAUAGAAAUUUACAAGACUUAUAUAAUUAUGAAGGAAUAUCCAAAAAAAAUACAAAUAGAGAGCGUUUGCCUGUUAACCUACCUUCAGUGAAUCUAGUAUACUAUAUACUCCACGAAUAACGGGUAUAAAAAUUAGGGACACAGUCUCAUGUAAUUUAAAUGUUGGCUUGGUAUUUUGGGAUGCUUGGUAUGUUUGCUGAUAUAAUUAAUUGAUUUCUAUUGCUUGAGGUAUCCCCUAGUGCAAAACAACCCAAUUAUAUAAUACGAUUAUAAUAUGUUCCGAGAUGGUAAUUAUCAUUGAUUAAAUCAGUGACAUAACGAGGCACAAGUGAAUCGUAAGUUCAGUGUAGACACCCUAUAAAUAUAAUAAUACGGCAGUGUGUGCACACUAUAAUUGCACCCUAUUAGCGUAGUUUAAAUUCAUUUUUGAAACGAGGGUAUGCAUUUUAGUAUAAGAAUAUCUCGCCAAGAUAUGAAGCCGUAUUUAGAUUCAGAUUAUUCCAUUAGUCGCAACUUGCGUCAGAGACAUAGAAAAAAGGGAGUUUCUAACGAAUACUCACAUCAUUUAGAUUCCGAAAAUAAAAAAAAAGGCAGAAAGAAAUGUCAAAAUGGCGCAUAUGAUGAAUACGGAAAUAUUCGCUCAAACGGCGACUGUAUGAAUCAAGAUGUGAUGGUUGCUGGUAUAAUUGCCGAAGUUGUGGCUCUACCAGGUGUGGUCCCCAAUGUCGCUCGAAUCGAAAGUUUUUUUAUGAGGACAUUACAUAUGACGGUAAAGAUUUAAAUAUUCAAAAUAAAUAUAUAUCAAGAUAAAGUUAAGCAAAUCACAUGUAUUAUUAAAAUAUUUGUAACUUAAUAUAAGUAUCCAUGAACAGCCAAACGAGCAUUAAACUAUCAUUCAGACGAAACACAUCACAUAUAAAAAUUCUCAAUUGAUUCAGAAAAAUACAUCAUUGUGCUAAUUAAAAGGAAAUGAUUAAAAGAAUAAAGUUAACUCUUCUGCAGCUA